UGGAUAGUUUAGAUAUCAUUUGUAUAAUCAGUCUCUUUCUCUCUCCCUGUGUCUCAAUCUCUCUUUCCCUCUCUUUCUCUAUCACUGGCCUCCAUUUCCUCUCUUCUGUUUUCUUCUUCCUGACUCCCUUUGUAGAUGUUUCCUUUGAAUCUUUAAAUUAUAGUCCUCAUAUAAGGCAGAGAACUAGUAAGGGACCAGAGUGGUGGAUCUCAAAGGAAAGGGAAUAUAACACAAAUGUCAUGAAAUGAUAAGUCUGAAUGGUGGACGAGGGAGAGUGAAACUGCUGGGGACAAUGAAAACAAAAAUGUCUGAGGAGAGCACAGUAACACCAAGGUCCUCAAAAAUGUCACAUGGCAUCUAAUAUUAUAAAAGUACAUACAAAAAAGAUAAACACACCACGCCUCCACAUAUAUAUAUAUUUCAAUAAUUUUUCAAUAAUAGUGAAUUAAUGCAUCUUCCUAACACUGUGGAUUACUAAAUAUCAAGGACACUGCCAGGCAGAAGUACCACAUACUUGAGCCAUGUGACAUGAUCAGAAGCUAGCUGGUCCCCAUUUGGAAUGCUUCAUCCUGUUAUCUGCCUUUUACAGAGCUCAGUUUCUUCUCACACUACCAGGGAGAAAUGAACCUUUGAUAACAUUCCAUAAACUAUAUAUUCUGCAGUUUUUUUCUAUCUACUAAAAAUUAUAGAAAUAAAUUUAAAAGAAUCCCAGAUUCUUGGGUAUAUUGUUGAUAUUAUGUAAUAGAUGUGUAUUUUACAGACACACACACACAUGCAUGCACACACACACAUUCAUGCACACAUACAUGCAUGCACACACACGCACACACACACAUGCAUGCACACACGCACACUUGCAUACAUACCCAUGCAUGUACACAUAUGCACAGACACACACACACACACACACACACACACACACACACACUGCACUUUUUUCUCACUCCCUCUGUGUGUUCCUGGGCACCUAUAAGACAGACCUUGAUGAUUUAAUAUUCACUAUACUACACAACGUUUGUUUUUGUUUUACUUCAGUGUUUUAGUGAAAGGAGAUGGGAUGGGUUUUUAGAUUACUAUGUAGGUUUUAGUUGAAAAAAAUAUUUGGGCUCCUAGAAAUGAUGUAUAUAUAUAUAUUGAUAUAUACAAAUAUAUGAUGAUUAUAGGUAUAGCUAAAAUAUUGUCUGCAGGAUGAGAAAUGUUAUAUUAGUCCACAGGUAUAGAAAUCACCUAAUUGAACUGUAACACUAUCAUCCCAUGUGUCGUGUUAAAUAUGAGAUAUUUUGACUUUUCUAAUUCCAUCACCUACUGAGCUCAGACCUUUUCACAACAAACAUUGUUAUAAAAGAAAGGUAACAGUUUGCCAACAGGUUAAGCCUUUCUUUAUGCAGCCCAAGUUGUUGUUAUUUUUAGUGUUUUACUGCAUUGGCUUUAUUAGAUAAUAAUUGAGUUGGGUUUUUAUUUUUCUCAGCAAUAUUCCUGUCGAGUUAGAAAGACGAAAAAAGAAUCAUCAACCACUUUCUAAGCUUAAGAUUCCUAAGGUGUUUUUAUUACCCUGUUCAAUAUUUUUAUCCUAAGGUAGUUUGUUUUAAUUUUCUGUCCAAUUUAAUAUCUCCUUUGAUUAUAAUUUCUGUAACCUGGUUAAUUUACAGUUUUAAACAUUUUCCAGAGUCAUUUCUCUCACAACAUAAUUAAACUAAAAUGAGGGCAAAGUAAAAAUAUUAAAGCAUUAUCCCAGAGUUCCAUUGUAGUCUUCAUCUAGACUUCAAGCUCAAUAUGUCUAUAAUUAAGCCUAGGCAGCGUGCCUAGAUCUUACAUAACCUUACAAUGGAGUCUGGGCAUGACACAAACAGACAGAUCUGACUUGGUAUCUCUCACUUAAGGAUUCAGCUGGAGCGGAAAUUGAACUCUGCUAUAUAUUUUACAGUGGGGAAGUUACUUAAAAGUUUUAGGUUUCAUUAAUCUCUCCAAUAAUACACAAAUAAAAACUAAAUUAAAAAUCAAGUCAGGUUGUGAGUAAGGUAAAAAUAUGAAGUGCCUUGAAUACUUUCUGAGUUUCUGUUAAUGAUCAUUAAAAUACUUUUAUUAUCAUCUUAAAAAUAAUUCAAGAACUAUUAUUCCCCAAAUCUGUUAAGCUCAGGCAGACAUUGAUCCUUAGCACCCAUGCUUUGCCUACUACAUCCUGAUUCUGAAAAUAGCUUUAUAAAUAUCAUCUUAAUUGUGAAUUUCUAGAAAUUAUUUUCAACUUGAGAGUCACCAUCCUUGAGAAUGAACAAAGACAUAAGUGUGUGGUAUUUCGGACCAUAUAUUCAUGUUGUGAUUAUAAAAGCUGGACUAUAACUAUCUAUAAAGUUUUCUCUUGAAGAAAAUAUGUAAUAAACCCUAUAAUAAUGACAUAUUGAUAUUCUCUUUAGCUGUGUUUCCACAAAUCUAUGACUUCACUACACAAAUGAGAUAUUUAUACAAAUUGGUAGUCAUCUGUUUUCUCUUUUAAUGUGCAUUCACCCAUUUCAUAGAGGAUUCUGUGUCUUGCAAAUUCUGUGACUUGUUAUAGGCAAAUAGAAUGUAUGCACAAGUAAACUGUGGCAAUUUAAAUGGUAUAAGGGCUACCUCAUAAUUUGUUAUAAUUUCUCUUUCUGGCCA
rnacentral:lncRNA from 1 species